GUGUGAAGUGGAUGUAAUAUGUUUCAGAGUCUGUAGCUGGCUGUAUGCUUCCAUUUUAUGCCUUCAAGAUAAGCCCUUGGCAUGGAUUUUUAUAAGCACAUAAAAAGAAAACACAAGAUGGAGUGAAUGAUGUCUUCACUGGCUCGCUUGGGAACUACCAAACACCUAGCAGCCGCCUGCAUGCUAACUUCCCCGUGUUCUCUCUGGCCACCAUUCUCUUUCCUGCCCUACACGUAAGCUGUAACCUGGAAGUAUGUACACAUGUCUAGAGCUUUGUCUGUGUGUGUAGCUUUCAGACUGCCGAACACGGAGCCCAGCACUGGGUACUGGGGUGCUUCAUGACCAAAGAUGGAUGCGGGAUUCUAAUCACUGUGUGAUGGAAUAUGGAAAGAAAGAGAGCAAACGAUCUUCCUUCUGCUGUGUGGUUUUCUUGAAAGGAGGCCACCAAAAGUUUCAGUGAUUUAUGUACACUUCCCACACCAGCUAGAAUUUAGAUUGUCAUAAGAAGUAUCCAGAGUUGCCGCACAUCAAAGUGGGCUUUUAUUAUUCAGGAAGAAAUGGGGGUUUGGGUAUUAAGAGACAAUGAGGUGCUGCCUUGCCACUGGAUACAGUAUACACGCCAUUUGGAAAAUGCUGGGAUGUCUAAAUUUGGCCUCUUUGGAAUGAAUAAUACAUCAGAAAUAGGUUUUUGGUAGCGAUAGACAAGCUUGCACUAACUAAUACACACAAACAUUAAUUUCAAGUUGGAAGUUAUUGCAAGGGAUUCAGCCAUCUAAAGAAAGGUACCACAGGGCUGAGGAGCUGGCUUGGUCAACACAAUGCUUACCAGGCAAGUACUCUCUGAAUUUAGAUCUCAGCACAGACACACACAGUCUGUAACCUCAGUGCCCAGGGGACUGGAAAUACACAGAUCCCUGGAGCUCACCUGCAGGGCAGCAUAGCUGAACUGGUGAGCUCCAGCUUGAGUGAGAGAUUCUGUCUCAAAAAAAUAAGAUGGAACAGCUGGAGAGAUGGCUCAGUGGUUAGAAACACUUACUGUUCUUGCAGGAAACCUGGGUUUUCUUCCUAGCACCUACAUGGUGGCCCACAACCAUCUGUAGCUUCAGUUCUAGGGGGUCCUGUGCCCUCUUCUGACCUUCUCUGACUUUCUCAGGCACUGGACAUAUAUGCUGGCACACACUCAUAUUACA